rnacentral:rRNA from 1 species
UACGUAGGGUGCGAGCGUUAAUCGGAAUUACUGGGCGUAAAGCGUGCGCAGGCGGUUUUGUAAGUCAGAUGUGAAAUCCCCGGGCUCAACCUGGGAAUGGCAUUUGGGACUGCAAGGCUGGAGUGCGGCAGAGGAGACUGGAAUUCCUGGUGUAGCAGUGAAAUGCGUAGAUACCUGGAGGAAUACCGGUGGCGAAGGCGGCAUCCUGGACCGGCAUUGACGCUGAGGAGCGAAAGCGUGGGGAGCGAACAGG